rnacentral:rRNA from 1 species
GGACUACAGGGGUAUCUAAUCCUUUUUGCUCCCCACGCUUUCGUCUCUCAGUGUCAGGGUCGUCCUAGCUAACUGCCUUCGCUUUUGGUGUUCCCGACGAUAUCAACGGAUUUCACCCCUACUCCGUCGGUUCCGUUAGCCUCUAACGCCCUCUUAGUAUAGCAGUAUUGAAAGCAGCUCAAAGGUUAAGCCGAUGAGUUUUAACUUUCAACUUACUUUACCACCUACAGACUCUUUACGCCCAAUAAAUCCGAGUAACGCUCGGGGAUUCUGUAUUACCGCGGCGGCUGGCAC